UAUCCAAUUUGGACCUGAUAUCAGACAAG
rnacentral:rRNA from 1 species